GCCUACGGCCAUACCACCCUGAAAGCGCCCGAUCUCGUCUGAUCUCGGAAGCUAAGCAGGGACGGGCUUGGUUAGUACGUGGAUGGGAGACCGCCUGGGAAUACCAGGUGAUGUAGGCU
rnacentral:rRNA from 1 species